rnacentral:lncRNA from 1 species
AAGAAACAAAACAUGUACAUCUAAAUAUUUCUUGAAAACAAAAUGUUUCUUUUCCUUAAACUAGAUACACUUCACAGAAUGUUGUUUGAGCUAUAUAUGUGAAGAAAAAUAAAAGAUUAACCAAAUAUUACAGAUGUACAUGCUUUAAACAUAAGUAACACGCUAAAUAUUCAUUCAUUCCAGUAAAGCACAUCGAGCAUAUCCUAUGAGCUGAAAGAGACCCAUAUUCUCAUUCAUUGGAUAUAAAAAUCUGCAUUGCAAAAUUUGAGAAAUACCUGGAUUGCAGAAAAUAAAUAUAGCAGUGAAAAAAUGGAGCUCCGCAACGAAAAAAACAGCAACAAACACAACAGAAAACAACAACAGUUUCGUGUUUAAAACAGCCAGAAAACCUUAGAGAAGAAACCCAGAACCAACUCUAAAGAAGACUUAUACUUUUCUAAAAGUUUGCACUCUAAAAUUUACUCUCAAAGCUCAUCAUUUCAGCUUACUAAAGGGUGCUUUAGUUAAUGAUUUUUCACUCCCAAAAUAAUAUUUUUAGGUUGUAAAAACUGUCCAACAAAUGUGUGAUCCAGUCCCCUUAAGUGUGGGAAGUGCAGCCUCUCAAAUAGGUAAAUAAAGUCACUCUUAUUUGGACCAAUUUUUCCACAAAAUCUGCUCUUAAAUUCAGAAGCAAGACUUUUUGGUUCAAUCUUGUCCAAGAGAGAGUAUUUCAACCAAAAUCUGCUCUUCACUAUUUAAAGAUAGACUUUUGUUGAAAAACUGUCCAAAAGUCUAUAUUUUCUUACCAGACAAUUUGGCUUUUGAGUGUUGUACUCAAAGAGUCUUGAAGUAGUAAAUAAGCAAACAAACAAGUAUCCUAUACUCUCAAGUAUUCUUCACUACCUCACUUUAUCAAUACAAAACUAUUUGACUACUUCAACAAGUGCAAAAACAGAAACUUUAACAUUUCAAACUUUAAAAAUUAAUGCUAAAAUAAUUAAUAAUAGAAAAAGUUAAAAUAUAAAAAAAAUAAAAAAUAAAAUAUAAAAAUCAGCCAUGAAAAAAAUAGGAUUUUUACCAUUUUGCAAUUCAAAUAGCUGAAAAAAUGGUGGUAUGCCAAAAGAGAGUGUUCGGGGAGGUCGCCGGAAUUUGGCCGGAUUUUGGUAGACAAAUUUUGGGGUAGAAUUGGCAUCAAUAGAUAGUUCUUGAGGAGCUCUAUCCGUUGAUGUAGGUAUUGUGGGGUGGUAGUGGUUGGAGCUUCAAGAAUUUAGGCAAAAAAGUGACGGAAAAGUUUCCUAGAUCUAAGAUUCAAGGAGUUUGAGGGUUUUUUGAAGGAUUUGCUUUGGAGAUAUGUAAAGAGGAGGUUAUGGAGAUUGUAUGGUGUGAUUUUGGGGUGAUUUGGAGGUGGUCCGCCGGUGGCGGUGGAGGGGCGGCGGUAGAGAGAGUGAGGAGGGAAAGGAAGAGAGAGGAAUAUAGGCUUAGUAAAUGGCCAAAAA